GAGUGAAGCGGCAACAGCUCAAAUUUGAAAUCUGGCCUCUUNGNGGUCCGAGUUGUAAUUUGGAGAGGAUGCUUCGGGCGUGGCACCGGUCUAAGUUCCUUGGAACAGGACGUCACAGAGGGUGAGAAUCCCGUAUGUGAUCGGCCGCCUUCGUCCAUGUGAAGCUCCUUNGACGAGUCGAGUUGUUUGGGAAUGCAGCUCAAAAUGGGUGGUAAAUUUCAUCUAAAGCUAAAUAUUGGCCAGAGACCGAUAGCGCACAAGUAGAGUGAUCGAAAGAUGAAAAGCACUUUGGAAAGAGAGUUAAAAAGUACGUGAAAUUGUUGAAAGGGAAGCGNUUGCAACCAGACUNGCUNGCAGUUNCUCAGCCGGUGUUCUCACCGGUGUACUCUUCUNCGGUCAGGNCCAGCAUCANUUCGGGCGGCCGGAUAAAGGUCGCGGGAAUGUGGCUCCUCUCGGGGAGUGUUAUAGCCCGCGGCGCCAUGCGGCCAGCCUGGACNUGAGGUCCNGCGCNUUCNGCUANGGAUGCUGGCGUAAUGGUUGUAAGCGACCNGUCUUGAANCACGGACCANNGGAGUCUAACAUCUAUGCGAGUGUUUGGGUGNUCAANCCCAUACGCGUAAUGAAANGUGAACGGAGGUGAGAACCCGUANCGGGUGCAUCAUCNAACCGAUCCUGAUGUCUUCGGAUGGAUUUGAGUAAGAGCAUANCUGUUGGGACCCGAAAGAUGGUGAACUAUGCCUGAAUAGGGUGAAGCCAGAGGAAACUCUGGUGGAGGCUCGCAGCGGUUCUGACGUGCANAUCNAUCGUCAAAUUUUGGGUAUAGGGGCGAAAGACUAAUCGAACCAUCUAGUANCUGGUNUCCUGCCGAANGUUUNCCCUCAGGAUANCANNAANGUAUUCANUUUUNUGAGGUAAAGCGAAUGAUUAGAGGCCUUGGGGUUGAAACAACCUUAACCUAUUCUCAANCUUUAAAUAUGUAAGAAGUCCUUGUUACUUAGUUGAACGUGGACAUUUGAAUGUACCGUUNCUANUGGNCCAUUUUUGGUAAGCANAACUGGCGAUGNNGGAUGAACCGAACGCGAGGUUAAGGUGCCGGAAUGCACGCUUAUCAGACNCCACAAAAGGNGUUAGUUCAUCUAGACAGCCGGACGGUGGCCAUGGAAGUCGGAAUCCNCUNAGGAGUGUGUAACAACUCACCGGCCGAAUGAACUAGCCCUGAAAAUGGAUGGCGCUCAAGCGUGCUACNCAUACNUCGC
rnacentral:rRNA from 1 species